AUUGAACGCUGGCGGCAGGCCUAAUACAUGCAAGUCGAGCGAGCGGCGCACGGGUGAGUAAUGUAUGGCAAACUGGCUGAUGGCGGGGGGUAACUACUGGAAACGGUAGCUAAUACCGCAUACCAUCAGAUGUGCCCAGAUGGGAUGAGCUGGUGGGUGGGGUAACGGCCCACCUAGGCUACGACCCCUAGCUGGUCUGAGAGGAUGAUCAGCAAGACUGGAACGGAGAAAAGGUCAAUACUCGUAAGUGAGGCAGCGUUGGGGAAUAUUGCACAAGGGGCGCAAGGCUGUUGCGGCCAUGCCGCGUGUAUGAAGAAGGACGUCGGGGUGUAAAGUACGUUCAGCGUGGGUGCGUUACCCGAAGAAGAAGCACCGGCUAACUCCGUGCCAGCCGCCGCGGUAAUAC
rnacentral:rRNA from 1 species